GUUCCCGGACGGGGGACGACGCUGGAGGACGACGCUGGAGGACGACGUUGGAGGACCAAGGCCGGCCAACAGAAGAAGAGGAAUUUAUUGUCUAGUUAUGUACAGUGCAUCCUAUUAGUGAAAAGGCGGAAGACAGUUAACGCUGAUCCAGAUGCCUUAGUGAGACAGAGCUUGUCUCCCAUUCAACUGGAGCCCCCUACUGGAAGAUGCGGAUGCAGACCGAUGGGGCCCGUCAGAAGAUGAACGCAAGGAGCCGAUUCCGCAACCAGGAAGCCUAUUAGAGAAGUGCCAUUUAUGUCUCCCUUUCUUAUUUUUUGUCUGUUUCCUGUAUCCUCCCUACGCUAACAUAACUAAAACUUAUCUUCUCCUCCCCAUCCUCUUCCUCCAUUUUACUCUUUCCUGAUCUAAUUGCUUAAAUUGUCUUCAUUUUCUUAAUCGAUUUGUUCAUCUCAUCUUCGUUUAAUGUUUGUGUUUAUGUCAAUUUCUCGAAUUAUUUGUGUUUAUUGUGUUGAGUUUUUACUAAUUUUGUUCUAGCUGUAUAUUUUCAGGUUCCCGGACGGGGGACGACGCUGGAGGACGACGCUGGAGGACGACGUUGGAGGACCAAGGCCGGCCAACAGAAGAAGAGGAAUUUAUUGUCUAGUUAUGUACAGUGCAUCCUAUUAGUGAAAAGGCGGAAGACAGUUAACGCUGAUCCAGAUGCCUUAGUGAGACAGAGCUUGUCUCCCAUUCAACUGGAGCCCCCUACUGGAAGAUGCGGAUGCAGACCGAUGGGGCCCGUCAGAAGAUGAACGCAAGGAGCCGAUUCCGCAACCAGGAAGCCUAUUAGAGAAGUGCCAUUUAUGUCUCCCUUUCUUAUUUUUUGUCUGUUUCCUGUAUCCUCCCUACGCUAACAUAACUAAAACUUAUCUUCUCCUCCCCAUCCUCUUCCUCCAUUUUACUCUUUCCUGAUCUAAUUGCUUAAAUUGUCUUCAUUUUCUUAAUCGAUUUGUUCAUCUCAUCUUCGUUUAAUGUUUGUGUUUAUGUCAAUUUCUCGAAUUAUUUGUGUUUAUUGUGUUGAGUUUUUACUAAUUUUGUUCUAGCUGUAUAUUUUCAGGUUCCCGGACGGGGGACGACGCUGGAGGACGACGCUGGAGGACGACGUUGGAGGACCAAGGCCGGCCAACAGAAGAAGAGGAAUUUAUUGUCUAGUUAUGUACAGUGCAUCCUAUUAGUG